rnacentral:rRNA from 1 species
AGUGAACGCUGGCGGUAGGCCUAACACAUGCAAGUCGAACGGCAGCACAGUAAGAGCUUGCUCUUACGGGUGGCGAGUGGCGGACGGGUGAGGAAUACAUCGGAAUCUACUUUUUCGUGGGGGAUAACGUAGGGAAACUUGCGCUAAUACCGCAUACGACCUACGGGUGAAAGCAGGGGAUCUUCGGACCUUGUGCGAUUGAAUGAGCCGAUGUCGGAUUAGCUAGUUGGCGGGGUAAAGGCCCACCAAGGCGACGAUCCGUAGCUGGUCUGAGAGGAUGAUCAGCCACACUGGAACUGAGACACGGUCCAGACUCCUACGGGAGGCAGCAGUGGGGAAUAUUGGACAAUGGGCGCAAGCCUGAUCCAGCCAUACCGCGUGGGUGAAGAAGGCCUUCGGGUUGUAAAGCCCUUUUGUUGGGAAAGAAAAGCGGCAGGUUAAUACCCCGCUGUUCUGACGGUACCCAAAGAAUAAGCACCGGCUAACUUCGUG